GAUGAACGCGGCGGCGUGCCUAACACAUGCAAGUCGAACGGAGAUUACGGACGGAAGUUUUCGGAUGGAAGACUGUAAUUCUUAGUGGCGGACGGGUGAGUAACGCGUGGGCAACCUGCCCUAUACAGGGGGAUAGCAGCUGGAAACGGCUGGUAAGACCGCAUAAGUCGGUUAAAUCGCAUGAUUUGAUCGGGAAAUGAGCAAUCAGGUAUAGGAUGGGCCCGCGUCCGAUUAGCCAGUUGGCAGGGUAAAAGCCUACCAAAGCAACGAUCGGUAGCCGGACUGAGAGGUCGGACGGCCACAUUGGGACUGAGACACGGCCCAAACUCCUACGGGAGGCAGCAGUGGGGGAUAUUGCACAAUGGAGGAAACUCUGAUGCAGCGACGCCGCGUGAGUGAAGAAGUAUUUCGGUAUGUAAAGCUCUAUCAGCAGGGAAGAUGAUGACGGUACCUGACUAAGAAGCCCCGGCUAACUACGUGCCAGCAGCCGCGGUAAUACGUAGGGGGCAAGCGUUAUCCGGAUUUACUGGGUGUAAAGGGAGCGCAGGCGGUCUGGCAAGUUGAGAGUGGAAGCAGGGGGCUCAACCCCCUGACUGCUCCCAAAACUGUUAAACUGGAGUAUGGGAGAGGCAGGCGGAAUUCCUAGUGUAGCGGUGAAAUGCUCAGAUAUUAGGAAGAACACCGGUGGCGAAGGCGGCCUGCUGGACCAAAACUGACGCUGAGGCUCGAAAGCGUGGGGAGCGAACAGG
rnacentral:rRNA from 1 species